AAGUCGAGCGCAGGAAGUUAUCUGAUCCUCUUUUAGAGGUGACGAUAAUGGAAUGAGCGGCGGACGGGUGAGUAACACGUAGGCAACCUGCCUGUAAGACUGGGAUAACUCGUGGAAACGCGAGCUAAUACCGGAUAACACUUUUCAUCUCCUGAUGAUAAGUUGAAAGGCGGCUUUUGCUGUCACUUACAGAUGGGCCUGCGGCGCAUUAGCUAGUUGGUAAGGUAAUGGCUUACCAAGGCGACGAUGCGUAGCCGACCUGAGAGGGUGAUCGGCCACACUGGGACUGAGACACGGCCCAGACUCCUACGGGAGGCAGCAGUAGGGAAUCUUCCGCAAUGGACGAAAGUCUGACGGAGCAACGCCGCGUGAGUGAUGAAGGUUUUCGGAUCGUAAAACUCUGUUGUUAGGGAAGAACAAGUGCCAUAGUAACUGAUGGCACCUUGACGGUACCUAACCAGAAAGCCACGGCUAACUACGUGCCAGCAGCCGCGGUAAUACGUAGGUGGCAAGCGUUGUCCGGAAUUAUUGGGCGUAAAGCGCUCGCAGGCGGUUCUUUAAGUCUGAUGUGAAAUCUUACGGCUCAACCGUAAACGUGCAUUGGAAACUGGGGAACUUGAGUGCAGAAGAGGAGAGUGGAAUUCCACGUGUAGCGGUGAAAUGCGUAGAGAUGUGGAGGAACACCAGUGGCGAAGGCGACUCUCUGGUCUGUAACUGACGCUGA
rnacentral:rRNA from 1 species